CUCCAGUCCUCCUUUCCGGCCAUCUCGUUGAUAUGGCAUCCGCCGCGGCCGCCCGUUCGACCGCUGCCGUAGCUGCUCGGGCAGCCGCCGCCCGUCACGUUGCUUCGGGCACUGGCCGCUCCAGUCCUCUCUUUCCUCGACGUGGGUUCGCGGCCGUCACCACCACCACCACCCUCCCAGCCGCCUGGACUCGCCCGCUGCCGUCCCACGCCGCCGCCGCCCCCAUGCCGUCGGCCACCCGCCUUGUCCGGCGCGGCCUCGCGAAGAUCUCCGACAACUACUUUAUCACGGAUCCCUGAACUACGUGCCCCUUUGCUGGGUUGACCCCGAUGCUCCAGUCGACCCGGCCACCCACUUCAGCCACGGCGAGGAGGACCUCGCGUCGGAGGAAGCCAUGUGGGCGCUGUACGAGCGGUGGUGCGCCUUCUACGGCGUCAAGCGCAGCCGCGACGACAUGCUCCGGCGGUUCGGGGCCUUCAAGGAAAUGGCGCGCCGCAUCCACGAGUUCAACAAGUCCGGUGCGUCCUACACCAUGAAGCUCGGCGAAAGAGCCGAUCUCACGGCAGAGGAGCGAGACAGGUUCUACCGGUCGAACUCUUUCUGAAGCUGGAGAAAAUUCAUCUUAUCCUCACUAAUCAGCCAUUGCCAUCGAUCCAAUGACUGAUGCUAGAAUAAUAAUCUUAUGCGGUUAUGUAUCAUCUCCAUUGACUUAGCGUGUGUUUAGUUCGCUUGCCAAACGCCCUGCACGAUGAUGAACUAUGUGCAUGCUUUAGAUGACUUAGCAAAAUGUCAAAGAUGCGCUUAUUCAUUUGGAAAAAAAAAAUAAUGACACACUACAAAAUUUCCACAUCUAUGAUUUUUAGCAGUUUCUAUUGAAA